rnacentral:rRNA from 1 species
UGGGGAAUAUUGGACAAUGGGGGAAACCCUGAUCCAGCAACGCCGCGUGGGUGAUGAAGGCCUUCGGGUCGUAAAGCCCUGUUGAGGGGGAAGAAGUCAUGAAGUAACGAUUCAUGGUUGACGUUACCCCUUGAGGAAGCACCGGCUAACUCUGUGCCAGCAGCCGCGGUAAUACAGAGGGUGCAAGUGUUGUUCGGAAUUAUUGGGCGUAAAGGGUGCGUAGGCGGUUUGGUCAGUCAGUUGUGAAAGCCCUGGGCUUAACCCAGGAAUUGCAUCUGAUACUACCAAGCUAGAGUGCGAAAGAGGAGAGCGGAAUUCCCGGUGUAGAGGUGAAAUUCGUAGAUAUCGGGAGGAACACCAGUGGCGAAAGCGGCUCUCUGGGUCGACACUGACGCUCAGUGCACGAGAGCGUGGGGAGCAAACAGG